rnacentral:rRNA from 1 species
GACGAACGCUGGCGGCGUGCUUAACACAUGCAAGUCGAACGAAGAGCGAUGGAAGCUUGCUUCUAUCAAUCUUAGUGGCGAACGGGUGAGUAACGCGUAAUCAACCUGCCCUUCAGAGGGGGACAACAGUUGGAAACGACUGCUAAUACCGCAUACGAUCCAAUCUCGGCAUCGGGACUGGAAGAAAGGUGGCCUCUAUUUAUAAGCUAUCACUGAAGGAGGGGAUUGCGUCUGAUUAGCUAGUUGGAGGGGUAACGGCCCACCAAGGCGAUGAUCAGUAGCCGGUCUGAGAGGAUGAACGGCCACAUUGGGACUGAGACACGGCCCAGACUCCUACGGGAGGCAGCAGUGGGGAAUCUUCCGCAAUGGACGAAAGUCUGACGGAGCAACGCCGCGUGAGUGAUGACGGCCUUCGGGUUGUAAAGCUCUGUUAAUCGGGACGAAUGGUUCUUGUGCGAAUAGUGCGAGGAUUUGACGGUACCGGAAUAGAAAGCCACGGCUAACUACGUG